GGGCAGGGCACAGCUUGGAGUCCAAGCAUUUGCUGAUGCAUUGCUCAUUAUUCCCAAGGUUCUUGCUCAGAACUCUGGUUUUGACCUUCAGGAAACAUUAGUUAAAAUUCAAGCAGAACAUUCAGAAUCAGGUCAGCUUGUGGGUGUGGACCUGAACACAGGUGAGCCAAUGGUGGCAGCAGAAGUAGGCGUAUGGGAUAACUAUUGUGUAAAGAAACAGCUUCUUCACUCCUGCACUGUGAUUGCCACCAACAUUCUCUUGGUUGAUGAGAUCAUGCGAGCUGGAAUGUCUUCUCUGAAAGGUUGAAUUGAAGCUUCCUCUGUAUCUGAAUCUUGAAGACUGCAAAGUGAUCCUGAGGAUUACAGCUGUGGAAUUUUUGUCCAAGCUUCAAAUAAUUUUGAAAGAAAUUUUCCCAUAUGAAAAAAGGAGAGAACACUGGCAUCUGUUGAAAUUUGGAAGUUCUGAAAUUAUAGUAUUUUUAAAAAUUGCACUGAAGUGUAUACACAUAAAGCAGGUCUUUUAUCCAGUGAACAGGAUGUUUUGCUUUAGCAGCAGUGACAUAAAAUUCCAUGUUAGAUAAGCAUAUGUUACUUACCUUGUUAUUAAAUAUUUCUUGAAAAGCAAAUUUUAAUGGUUUAAUUUUAUGUGGACGUAUGUUAAAUUAUCCAACUACCCUAUUGUUAAGCAUUUGGUUUUAAAAUUUUUAUGCUAAUAUAAAUGCUCAAGUAAUUU
rnacentral:lncRNA from 1 species